GGGCGGCCUACUCCACAGCAAUAGACGUCCCGCCCAAAAAAAGGAGGAAAUGCGCCCGGCUCGGGCUGCGGCAGCGUGGAGACCUGUCGUAAAGCGGCUGAACACCGCGAGGAUGCCUCUUGCGGAGGCAGGGCGUCCGGAGCAAAAUAAGAUGGCA
rnacentral:ncRNA from 1 species